rnacentral:misc_RNA from 1 species
UUUAAAAUAUCGAAAACGAGGAAACCGAACGUGCGGCGACCUGGAAGUCUACGUCACGGACGGCAGGCUGAGGUACGACACCUUCUGCAAACCCUGGACGACGCUCAAAUGGCAUCUGCGUAGGCCCCGCUGGUGCCUGUGCAAGCACGGAUACGUGCGAAACGCCUGGGGACAGUGCAUCACGGUACAUGAUUGCCACAGAUGCCAGCACCAGCCGCACACAGACUAUAACAUUUGCUCUUCAGCCUGCCCCACCUACUGUGAUAAACCCUUGCCUCAGACGUGCACAAAGAAUUGUGUCGCGGGAUGCGCCUGUGCGCCUGGCUUCGUACGGCAUCCCUAUGUCCCAUGGAUGGCAUGCGUACCGGUCACCUCUUGUGCGCCACGGUGCCCCCUUCACUCUAGCUUCCACGUGUGCACAUCCAACUGCGCACCGCGUUGCAAUGCACCUCGACCAAGCGAGUGCAAGACUAGGUGCCAGGACGGAGAAUGCGUCUGCAACGAGGGAUUUGCAAAGACAUAUUACUGGGGACAAGAGGUAUGCGUGCCUUGGAACCACUGCCAUAUCACCAAACAAUAAACAAUGUUUCCAAAGCGAUGUUUU